rnacentral:rRNA from 1 species
AACGCGAAGAACCUUACCCAGGCUUGACAUCCUUGGAAUUUUGCCGAAAGGCGAGAGUGCUUUAUUGAGCCAAGUGACAGGUGUUGCAUGGCCGUCGUCAGCUCGUGUCGUGAGAUGUUUGGUUAAGUCCAUCAACGAGCGCAACCCUUGUAGUUAGUUGAAUUUUUCUAGCUAGACUGCCCUGGUAACAGGGAGGAAGGAGGGGAUGAUGUCAGGUCAGUAUUACCCUUACGUCUGGGGCUACAAACACGCUACAAUGGCCGGUACAAAGGGCAGCCAAGUCGCAAGACGGAGCAAAUCCCAUCAAAGCCGGUCUCAGUUCGGAUAGCAGGCUGAAACUCGCCUGCUUGAAGUCGGAAUCGCUAGUAACGGUAGGUCAGCACACUACCGUGAAUACGUUCCCGGGCCUUGUA